CGCACAGCCCUUCCUAGGGUGUGGAGAGCGGGCCCCGCCCUGAAGGGGCACCGUGGGCUGGGGGGCCUGUUUUGGAGCAGGCACCUGUGGCCGAACUCCGUGACCAUGAAGGUCAAGGUCAUCCCCGUGCUCGAGGACAACUAUAUGUACCUGGUCAUCGAGGAGCUCACGCGCGAGGCGGUGGCCGUGGACGUGGCCGUGCCCAAGAGGCUGCUGGAGAUCGUGGGCAGGGAGGGGGUGUCUCUGACCGCUGUGCUGACCACCCACCAUCACUGGGACCACGCGCGGGGAAACCCGGAGCUGGCGCGGCUGCGUCCCGGGCUGGCGGUGCUGGGCGCGGACGAGCGCAUCUUCUCGCUGACGCGCAGGCUGGCGCACGGCGAGGAGCUGCGGGUGAGCGCGCGCUCCCGGGAGGGGCGGGGAGGGCGCCCCGGGUCCGCCCACCCUCACAGGUCCGCCUGCUCCUCCGCCGCAGUUCGGGGCCAUCCACGUGCGUUGCCUCCUGACGCCCGGCCACACCUCCGGCCACAUGAGCUACUUCCUGUGGGAGGACGAUUGCCCGGACCCACCCGCCCUGUUCUCGGGUACCCGCAGCGCGGAGCGCGCCCACCCCGCCUCCCGCCGGCCCCGCCCCAUCUGCUCUGACCCGUCCUCCCCCGCCAGGCGACGCGCUGUCGGUGGCCGGCUGCGGCUCGUGCCUGGAGGGCAGCGCCCAGCAGAUGUACCAGAGCCUGGCCGAGCUGGGUACCCUGCCCCCCGAGACGAAGGUGUUCUGCGGCCACGAGCACACGCUCAGCAACCUGGAGUUUGCGCAGAAAGUGGAGCCCUGCAACGACCACGUGAGAGCCAAGCUGUCCUGGGCUAAGAAGAGGGAUGAGGAUGACGUGCCCACAGUGCCGUCGACUCUGGGCGAGGAGCGCCUCUACAACCCCUUCCUGCGGGUGGCAGAGGAGCCGGUGCGCAAGUUCACGGGCAAGGCGGUCCCCGCCGACGUCCUGGAGGCGCUCUGCAAGGAGCGGGCGCGCUUCGAACAGGCGGGCGAGCCGCGGCAGCCACAGGCGCGGGCCCUCCUUGCGCUGCAGUGGGGGCUCCUGAGUGCAGCCCCACACGAGUGAGCCACCCAGACCCUCACAGGGCUGGGGCCUGCGUUCCUCCUCCUGACCUCGGCCAGCUGGACCCACGCGAGGGCCACCUCUGGAACCUUCUUCGAGGUCCUGGCCAGCCAUCUGCCCAGCCUCGGAGGGUGGGCAAGCUGGUGCUUCCUGGGUGGACACACAGGACCACUCAGUGGGGCCCGUGUGGGCGCCGAGACCUGGGUGCCUGCGAAGUGGGGUACACGGGGCCUCCGAACUACGAAUAAAGCUUUGAAAGGCC
rnacentral:sRNA from 1 species